rnacentral:rRNA from 1 species
GAUGAACGCUAGCUACAGGCUUAACACAUGCAAGUCGAGGGGCAGCAUGGUCUUAGCUUGCUAAGGCCGAUGGCGACCGGCGCACGGGUGAGUAACACGUAUCCAACCUGCCGUCUACUCUUGGACAGCCUUCUGAAAGGAAGAUUAAUACAAGAUGGCAUCAUGAGUCCGCAUGUUCACAUGAUUAAAGGUAUUCCGGUAGACGAUGGGGAUGCGUUCCAUUAGAUAGUAGGCGGGGUAACGGCCCACCUAGUCUUCGAUGGAUAGGGGUUCUGAGAGGAAGGUCCCCCACAUUGGAACUGAGACACGGUCCAAACUCCUGCGGGAGGCAGCAGUGAGGAAUAUUGGUCAAUGGGCGAGAGCCUGAACCAGCCAAGUAGCGUGAAGGAUGACUGCCCUAUGGGUUGUAAACUUCCUUUAUAAAGGAAUAAAGUCGGGUAUGCAUACCCGUUUGCAUGUACUUUAUGAAUAAGGAUCGGCUAACUCCGUGCCAGCAGCCGCAGUAA